rfam:Ovis aries breed Texel chromosome 1, whole genome shotgun sequence.
UCCGUGGUGGUCCAGUGGUUAGGACUUAGUGCUUUCACUGCUCUGGGCCCAGGUUCAAUCCCUGGUCAGGGAA